GACGAACGCUGGCGGCGUGCCUAAUACAUGCAAGUUGAGCGCUGAAGGUUGGUACUUGUACCAACUGGAUGAGCAGCGAACGGGUGAGUAACGCGUGGGGAAUCUGUCUUUGAGCGGGGGACAACAUUUGGAAACGAAUGCUAAUACCGCAUAAAAACUUUAAACACAAGUUUUAAGUUUGAAAGAUGCAAUUGCAUCACUCAAAGAUGAUCCCGCGUUGUAUUAGCUAGUUGGUGAGGUAAAGGCUCACCAAGGCGAUGAUACAUAGCCGACCUGAGAGGGUGAUCGGCCACAUUGGGACUGAGACACGGCCCAAACUCCUACGGGAGGCAGCAGUAGGGAAUCUUCGGCAAUGGACGAAAGUCUGACCGAGCAACGCCGCGUGAGUGAAGAAGGUUGUCGGAUCGUAAAACUCUGUUGGUAGAGAAGAACGUUGGUGAGAGUGGAAAGCUCAUCAAGUGACGGUAACUACCCAGAAAGGGACGGCUAACUACGUG
rnacentral:rRNA from 1 species